GCAGGGGUAGCCAAGCGGUCAACGGCGGUAGGCUCAAGACCUACUGGCAUAGUGCCUUCGCAGGUUCGAAUCCUGCCCCCUGCA
rnacentral:tRNA from 1 species